UACAGAGGGUGCAAGCGUUGUUCGGAAUUAUUGGGCGUAAAGGGCGCGUAGGCGGUGCGGUAAGUCUGCCGUGAAAUCUCCCGGCUCAACUGGGAGGGGGCGGUGGAGACUGCCGGACUGGAGGGACCUAGAGGCCGGUGGAAUUCCUGGUGUAGCGGUGAAAUGCGUAGAUAUCAGGAGGAACACCUGUGGUGUAGACAGCUUACUGGACCACUUCUGACGCUGAGACACGAAAGCGUGGGUAGCAAACAGG
rnacentral:rRNA from 1 species